GAUAAGAGCUGAGUGUGGGGAGAGUGAAGCAAAGCUUCUACUGAGUGGAUGAGGAGAUGGACAGUGUCUUCCAAGGAUGUCUCUUCUGAGGGUGAACAGAGGAGGAGAUCAUACACAUAUUGCAAAAAGGAAGAAUUCUGAAAAAAAAAAUGACAUCAGCAAAUCAGCCUUCAGAAUUUGAGAAAAAUAGGUAGGGCUUUUGGUAUAGCCCUGAGGCAUAACAGUCCAGGUCCGCCUAACCAUAAAUUGGGUAAGAAGAACAACCAGAGGUGCACCCAGCCCAUCAACAUCAACUCUUAUUGUGCACUGUUCAAAACAGUAACCACUAGCCAAAUGUGGCUAUGUAAAUGUAAGAACAUUAAGAUGAAAUAAAAACAAAAAUUCAGUUCCUUAGUUAUACUAGCCACACUGCAACUGCUCAACAGCCAGAUGAGGCUAGUGGCUACCAUUAUCCAUGGUAGAGAAACAUUUCCAUCAUCACAGAAAUUUUUAUUGCACAGCAUUGUUCUUAUCUUUUCUAGACACUGCUACCCUGUAUGUACCUAAAAGAAGCUAGAACUAUGUCCAUGAGUUCAUGAGUUCAAGUCCUGCAUUGGGCUCCACACCCAGCAUGGAGCCUACUUAAACAAGAACAACAAUAAACAACUAGACUAUACCCUCUCCCACCU